rnacentral:rRNA from 1 species
UACGAAGGGGGCUAGCGUUGCUCGGAAUCAUUGGGCGUAAAGGGCGUGUAGGCGGUUUUGUUAAGUCAUGUGAUGAAAUCCCUCGGCUCAACCGGGGAAGGACGCAUGAAACUGGCAAGCUAGAGUACCAAAGAGGGGGGUGGAAUUCCCGGUGUAGCGGUGAAAUGCGCAGAUAUCAGGAAGAACACCUAUGGCGAAGGCAGCUCUCUGGGACGGUACUGACGCUGAGACGCGAAAGCGUGGGGAGCGAACAGG